GAUGAACGCUAGCGGCAGGCUUAACACAUGCAAGUCGAGGGGUAGAAGGAGCUUGCUCCUUUGAGACCGGCGCACGGGUGCGUAACGCGUAUGCAAUCUACCUUUUGCAGAGGGAUAGCCCAGAGAAAUUUGGAUUAAUACCUCAUAGUAUGUGAGGAUGGCAUCAUUUUCACAUUAAAGUCACAACGGCAAAAGAUGAGCAUGCGUCCCAUUAGCUAGUUGGUAAGGUAACGGCUUACCAAGGCUACGAUGGGUAGGGGUCCUGAGAGGGAGAUCCCCCACACUGGUACUGAGACACGGACCAGACUCCUACGGGAGGCAGCAGUGAGGAAUAUUGGACAAUGGGCGCAAGCCUGAUCCAGCCAUGCCGCGUGCAGGAUGACGGUCCCUAUGGAUUGUAAACUGCUUUGUACAGGAAGAAACACUACUUCGUGAAGUAGCUUGACGGUACUGUAAGAAUAAGGAUCGGCUAACU
rnacentral:rRNA from 1 species